rnacentral:ncRNA from 1 species
UCAGUUAUAGUUUAUUUGAUAGUCCCUUACUACAUGGAUACCCGUAGUAAUUCUAGAGCUAAUACAUGCAUCGACUCCCAACUGCUUCGGCGGACGGGACGUAUUUAUUAGAUUGAAACCAAUGCGGGGGAGACCCCGGUAUUGUGGUGAGUCAUGAUAACUUUGCGAAUCGCAUGGCCUUGUGCCGGCGAUGGAUCAUUCAAGUUUCUGC